AGGACGCCGAAGGUGGGGCUGAUGACUGGGGUGAAGUCGUAACAAGGUAGCCGUACCGGAAGGUGCGGCUGGAUCACCUCCUAACAGGGAGACAAUAAAUUGAUUGUGAUGUCUAAGUUUUUUAUUCUUAGGCCGCAAUCCUGUCACCUUAAGGUCGAUCGGUACCUCAGAUUUUUGAAUUAGUUUUAUAAUUGAUUCUUUGAUUUCAGUUCCUAAACUUGUCUAGGUCACACCCAACAAAGGUUUCUCCUGGGCCAUUAGCUCAGGUGGUUAGAGCGCACCCCUGAUAAGGGUGAGGUCCCUGGUUCAAGUCCAGGAUGGCCCAUUCGUUGUUGGGGGUAUAGCUCAGUUGGUAGAGCGCCUGCUUUGCAAGCAGGAUGUCAGCGGUUCGAGUCCGCUUACCUCCACUGAAAACUAUCCUGAUAACUAAAUUUCUGGAGAAAAAAAAUUGUAGAUGUGGCUUAGAAUUGUCUAUUUGAAAAGAACCUAGCUUCUUGUCAUCUUUUUAUAGUUGAUAAAAUGCUGGGCUCGCAUGGAUUAUUUCCAUGAGAAUUCAGUAGAACCUUGAAAACUGCAUAGAUUAGAAAGAAUAAAGCAUCUCAUGGAUGCAUAGUUCUGUGUUUUUAUAAUUUAGCCUUAAAACUAAAUUAUUUAAUUCCAGAAUUCAUGUUUAAUUCUUGAGUAAUAGCCGAGCACAAUUGAUUUUGUGAUUGUAUUUAAGGUCAAGCU
rnacentral:misc_RNA from 1 species